rnacentral:rRNA from 1 species
UACGAAGGGGGCUAGCGUUGCUCGGAAUCACUGGGCGUAAAGGGUGCGUAGGCGGGUCUUUAAGUCAGGGGGGAAAUCCUGGAGCUCAACUCCAGAACUGCCUUUGAUACUGCCGGACUAGAGUUCGGAAGAGGCGAGUGGAAUUCCCGGUGUAGCGGUGAAAUGCGCAGAUAUCGGGAGGAACACCUAUGGCGAAGGCAGCUCGCUGGGACGUUACUGACGCUGAGACGCGAAAGCGUGGGGAGCAAACAGG